rnacentral:rRNA from 1 species
GUACGAACCGUGCGAACGUUGUUCGGAUUCACUGGGCUUAAAGGGCGCGUAGGCGGGCUUGUAAGUCAGGGGUGAAAUCCUCCGGCUCAACCGGAGAACAGCCUUUGAUACUGCAAGUCUCGAGGGAGAUAGGGGUCUGCGGAACUUCCGGUGGAGCGGUGAAAUGCGUAGAUAUCGGAAGGAACGCCGGUGGCGAAAGCGGCGGACUGGAUCUCUUCUGACGCUGAGGCGCGAAAGCUAGGGUAGCGAACGGG